rnacentral:rRNA from 1 species
CCUACGGGAGGCAGCAGUGAGGAAUAUUGGUCCAUGGUCGGGAGACUGAACCAGCCAAGCCGCGUGAGGGAUGAAGGUACAGAGUAUCGUAAACCUCUUUUGUCAGGGAACAAAGGCGGGUACGUGUCCCCGGAUGAGUGUACCUGAAGAAAAAGCAUCGGCUAACUCCGUGCCAGCAGCCGCGGUAAUACGGAGGAUGCGAGCUUUAUCCGGAUUUAUUGGGUUUAAAGGGUGCGCAGGCGGUCUGUUAAGUCAGCGGUAAAAGCCCGGGGCGCAACCCCGGCCCGCAGUUGAAACUGGCAGUCUCGAGUUGGAGAGAAGUAUGCGGAAGGCGCGGUGUAGCGGUGAAAUGCAUAGAUAUCGCGCAGAACUCCGAUUGCGAAGGCAGCAUGCCGGCUCCACACUGACGCUGAGGCACGAAAGCGUGGGUAUCGAACAGGAGUAGAUACCCUAGUAGUC